AUUUAGUAACUCAGUUCAUCUGAUUAAUUACAAUUAACACCAACCAUUGUUUUAAUUGCUUCAGUUAAUUAAAACUAAGCUAGUAGUGGAUUAGAUUUUAAUUGUUGUUGAUUUUAAUUUAAUUGUUUUAAAAAUGUUUUCAGUGAAAAACUUUCUCGCAUUUAAUAGUUUAUCAACCAUCUUAAUCACAGUUUUGUAGGUGUCCAAUGCUGUUCCAACGACAAUUAACUCUGAUGACAAUCAAAUUAAAUCACUAAAUGAUAUUCAAACUGAAUACAAAGUUGAUGAUUAUGAUUAUGAUUCAAUUGAUUUAGAUGGCGAUUUUAAUUUACUUUCAUCAACCCCACCAACUUUAACCUCAUCAACUUUUAUUUAUUAUGAAUCAACUCAUCAUGAUGAUUUAGUUGAUUCAGUUUCCAAUAAGUCAGAUAAUUUACCAAAUGAUUUUGUAACUGAAAAUACAAAGACAACUGAUUAUAUUGAAACAAUUAAAGUUACUAAUCAAGAUACAACCCAA